ACAUAUUAAAGUUCACCAAAAAAAAAAAAAAUGGAGUUUAAUACAAGAGAGCACACUUUAUUUUAUUGUUGCCGUACGUCAUAAAACACAUAUACCACUCAUCAUUAUGAGUUGUACACUACUCACAAACACAUAGACCAUGAACACAUUUAUAAGUAAGAUACUUUUUAGCAAAACAAUAAAACAUGCAAGGGAAACGCGAUUUACAAUGACGACUCCAAAUCAAUUUGAUGUUGUAAGGAGCACCAACAUUUUCCAACUCUUUCACACUUCUCACUGCUUCCACUUCCUUAAUCGUCCCUCCCAACGUCAUGCCUGCAAAAUUUUAUAUAUCUUUUAUACAUCUUAUAUGUAGUUACUGGAAUUACAAAAAAAAAAAACCUAAUCUCCAAUGUAACAUGGAAAUCAUAUAAAUGCAUUUAGCUGGAAACACUCACUUAUUAAAGUGAAGAGAACGAGAACUACUACAAACACAUCACUUGUUUUCAUCGUCCUCAUUAUUAUUUUUAUUAAUUUGAUGCGAAUUAAUA
rnacentral:lncRNA from 1 species